CAGGGUUUUUUACAAGGAGAAUUGGACUUGGAAAGCGACGGACACAGAGUUUGAAGCCAUAUAGCAAAGCAUCUACCAAACCCUGGAAGCCUUUUAGUUUCUAUGCGUACCUGCUCAAUAGAAAUUCAGAGGUAACUCCAGUUUCAUCUGAGGAGUUUGAACUUGCCUAGGCUGGUCUUGGCAAAAGACAUGUCACCAUGUCAAAAGAUAUGUGCCAUGAAGAGAUCUUUGGACUAUUUCAAAAUGAAUUUCCAAAGAUGCAGGGGCUGACAGGAGGAUGGCUGCUACACAAGGCUACAGGUGGCCAGGGCAAAAGAAAACUAAUAAUGAUCCCCCCGGAUUCUAAUGGUUACACUGGGACCCAAAUCCGCAAUGUUACAGGGUCAGGAAAAAUGACUCUCUAUAUUGUGCCUUUGCAACACCAGUUUGACCUGACUCCACUACCCCCAGAUGCCAUUGAAUUUGAAGGCAUGCCAAAAGCCCAAUGCCAAACCUGCAAAGUAUCAUUUCCUUUCCAAAUUUUGGCCCUUCAUGUAAAGGAAUGCAUGGGGUCUCAAACUUCAGAAGAAGAUACUGAGCCAGGUCAAAGUGAGUCAGAGGUUCUGUGCCAUGGAACAAAGAAAUCUGAUGAAGAGAAGUUGCCAUGUCCUAUCUGUUUCCUGAAAUUUACACCAGAGUUCCUAGAACUCCAUGCAAGCAUGUGCGGAGAAAGAGAAAAGGCAGAGCUCAUAACUGAUGACACAAAUGGCAUGAACCAGGAGAAUGAAGAGGAGCUGAUCAAAAGUGUUGAUGAUGUCUUGGAAACCAUUUGUGGGAGAGUUGAUGCUGAGAAGCGCUUUACCAUUCAGAUCACCAGAACAAACCUCUUUGAAAGAGGUCUUCUGCAAUGGCAGCGACAGAAGAAGAACUCGCCCACUUCUACUUUGGAAGUGACCUUCCUUGGAGAGGCUGGGGUAGACACAGGCGCCCUUCGAAAAGAAUUUCUCACUGAAAUGGUGGCUGAGAUUGAGCGUCGAGGGACUACAAAAUCAGAAGAGCCCACGGUACUCCCUGAAUGACUUUGACAAUGGUCUUUACAGGACUGUCGGAGAAAUUUUCGCAGUCAGUUUGGCACAAGGUGGCCCAGCCCCUACCUUUUUCAGUCCAUGGACUUACACUUACCUCAGUGGUGGGCAGACAAACCCCACAGUUCUUAACAGCGAUGCUGUGGCCGAUGUCCAGUUAAGAAAUUUAAUUGACCAGAUCAGGCAUGUAAAUGCUGAACUAAGAUAGCUAAGAUGACGUGCAUCAAUACUUUCGUCAAAGUAAUAUGGUUGAGCUGUCGACAGAUGAGACACUGCCACAUCUAGCUGAUGAAAUCCUACUUUGUGGAUAUACUGGAGUUAUCUCCAUUCAUAACAAGCAUUCUAUUGUUCGUGCCAUCAUACUAAGUGCAGUGCUGAGAUUACAUCCCAUGCUAGAUCAAAUUAAGGAAGGCCUGCAGCUAUAUGUUCUCCUCUCAUUGAUGAAGCAGUACCCGGAUGUGUGCCAGUCCUUGUUUGUUGCUGCUGAAGAUGUGAAAGUGACUGCAGAAUUUAUAAUGGCAUCUAUUUCUCCAGUACUGAGUGACAAAGGGACUACCAGGCGUCAGACUGAACUGGAGUUGGUAAACUACAUUCAAGACUUUCUUUAUGAAGGAGCUGAAGAUCAAGAGGAAAUAGAGCCAAGGCACGGCAUUACACCUUCCCGGUUUCUGCAGUGGAUCACAGGCCAAGGUCACAUCCCAAUUCUCCCUUCAGAAAAGAAGGAUUUUGCUGUGAUUGUCGAGUUUAACCAUGACUGUAGUGAAGAACAUGGCCUUCACAGGAUCUGUUAUCCUGUUAUCUCAGCAUGUGCCAAAACUAUUACACUACCUGUAAAGCACAUGAGGUCCUAUGAAAGCUUCAAAAGCGUUCUUACUGAGGCUUUUCAUUUAGGCCAAGAAUUUAACAUUGUGUAACUGAAUUACUGUUGAAUUAGCUGUUCCAUGUGUUUGAAGAAAGACCAAUGUGCCUGAAAUUUGUUGUAAGGCCAGUUUAUUGUAUUACUGUUGAGCAAUUAAGAUUGUCCUCCUGAUGUUAAAUGGUUAAACCCAUUGAAUGUUUCAUUUACUGCACAUUAUGUUGGACAUAUGGCAGAGACAUUUAUUUAAAUAUAUUGCACUAAGACUCUGAUGGUCUCGUGAUAUCAAAAGAUGCUCUGAGAUCCUCCAUUGCCUGCUCAGAGAGGGGGCAUUCAACAGGAGGAAUAAUCACUCCAGAACUGCCUGCUUCCUCCGGCUCACUGGAAAUGUUGAGAAGAGGAUCCCCAUCUUCAAUGUCCUACAAUCUAUAAAAUUAAAAAAAGACACUUUUCAUGAAAUAAGAAAUCACAGUUCUACAUUCACAUGUUGACUAAAAUAUUUUGUCAAAAUUCAUAGGCGCCUUUUAUGGUUAGGGUUUAAGGUCGCUGUAUAAAGGUCAAAUAAGUAAAA